rnacentral:rRNA from 1 species
GAUUCAUAGUCAAAAGGGCAACAGCCCAGAUCGUCAGCUAAGGUCCCUAAAUGUACGUUAAGUGGUAAAGGAUGUGGGAUUGCACAGACAACCAGGAUGUUGGCUUAGAAGCAGCCACUCAUUUAAAGAGUGCGUAAUAGCUCACUGGUCGAGUGAUCCUGCGCCGAAAAUUUCCGGGGCUAAAACGUACUACCGAAGCUACGGCAUCAUUUAUGAUGGGUAGGGGAGCUUCGUAUGCAGGCUGAAGCAUGACCGUAAGGACAUGUGGACAGUAUACGAGUGAGAAUGUUGGCAUGAGUAGCGAGACGUGGGUGAGAAUCCCACGGGCCGUAAACCCAAGGUUUCCAGGGGAAGGUUCGUCCGCCCUGGGUUAGUCGGGACCUAAGCCGAGGCCGAAAGGCGUAGGUGAUGGACAACAGGUUGAUAUUCCUGUACCGCCAAUAAGCGUUUGAGAGAUGGAGUGACACAGUAGGAUAAGCUAACCGUACUGUUGGUUAUGUACGGCUAAGCAUUGAGGCAGUCUAAAUAGGCAAAUCCGUUUAGACAAUGCUAGGAUGUGAUGGGGAAGCCCUUCGGGGCGAAGUAGCUGAUUUCACACUGUCAAGAAAAGCUUCUAUCGAGUUUAAAGGCGCCCGUACCGUAAACCGACACAGGUGGGUGAGGAGAGUAUCCUAAGGCCAGCGAGAGAACUAUUGUUAAGGAACUCGGCAAAAUGACCCCGUAACUUAGGGAGAAGGGGUGCCUGUCUAUGACAGGCCGCAGAGAAUAGGCCCAAGCGACUGUUUACCAAAAACACAGGUUUCUGCUAAGUCGCAAGACGAUGUAUAGGAGCUGACGCCUGCCCGGUGCUGGAAGGUUAAGGGGAUCUGUUAGAGCAAUCGAAGCAGUGAACUUAAGCCCCAGUAAACGGCGGCCGUAACUAUAACGGUCCUAAGGUAGCGAAAUUCCUUGUCGGGUAAGUUCCGACCCGCACGAAAGGCGUAACGAUUUGGGCACUGUCUCAACAAUAGACUCGGUGAAAUUGUAAUCCCGGUGAAGAUGCCGGGUACCUGCGACAGGACGGAAAGACCCCAUGGAGCUUUACUGUAGCUUGACGUUGGGUCUUGGUACUACAUGUACAGGAUAGGUGGGAGACUAUGAAGCAUGGACGCCAGUCUGUGUGGAGUCAUCCUUGGGAUACCACCCUUGUAGUACUGGGAUCCUAACCAUAGGCCUUGAAUCAGGUCUUGGAACACCGUCAGGUGGGCAGUUUGACUGGGGCGGUCGCCUCCUAAAAAGUAACGGAGGCGCUCAAAGGUUUCCUCAGCACGGUCGGAAAUCGUGCGAAGAGUGUAAAGGCAAAAGGAAGCUUGAUUGCAAGACAUACAGGUCGAGCAAGGACGAAAGUCGGACUUAGUGAUCCGGUGGUACCGCAUGGAAGGGCCAUCGCUCAACGGAUAAAAGCUACCCUGGGGAUAACAGGCUUAUCUCCCCCAAGAGUCCACAUCGACGGGGAGGUUUGGCACCUCGAUGUCGGCUCAUCACAUCCUGGGGCUGUAGUAGGUCCCAAGGGUUGGGCUGUUCGCCCAUUAAAGUGGUACGCGAGCUGGGUUCAGAACGUCGUGAGACAGUUCGGUCCCUAUCCGUCGCAGGCGUAGGAAAUUUGAGAAGACCUGUCCUUAGUACGAGAGGACCGGGAUGGACGUACCUCUGGUGUACCAGUUGUUCUGCCAAGGGCAUGGCUGGGUAGCUAUGUACGGAAUGGAUAAGCGCUGAAAGCAUCUAAGCGCGAAGCCAACUUCAAGAUAAGAUUUCCCACCGUAAGGGUAAGACCCCAGGAAGACUACCUGGUUGAUAGGUCGAAGGUGUAAGUGCAGUAAUGUAUUUAGCUUAUCGAUACUAAUAGGUCGAGGACUUGACCAA